CCUGGAAACACUGAGGUUGUGU
rnacentral:miRNA from 1 species